UGAAUUUAAUUCAGAGUGGAUUUACAUCUGAGGCUGGAUAAAUGGGAAUGUGACGACAAGUAAGUUUUUGUCUCAAAGUGAGACAUUUUAGGAGUAGAAAAUUGUGUACCUUAAGCCUAUGUUAGGUGUCCCUUUUGUAAGACCUCCUAUAUGAUUUCCAGAAGGAGUUCACUAGGAUUUAUGAGUUGUGUCUGUUGUGAUUUGCAUAUCACAUUUGAUUUCAGACGUGUGUCUCGCAGGAUCAUCUGGUUUUGUUGAUCCUUGGGUACAUUGGAUCAUGAUUGCCACCAAGUAAGGUUGAAAAUAUGUCUACGUGAGUUCCAAUGUUCAUCCACCUCAGACUACAUCUUGUAUGCUACGACGCCAUAAUUCAUUAGUUGUUUGUUUGGGCCUAAGUUGAAGUGGACUGGGCAUUAGACUGGUCCAAAACAAUUGCCUGAAAGUCACGAGUUGAUGCAAUCAACUUGUUUAAGCUGCCACAUCUUAUUUUGUAUCCUCUCUUG
rnacentral:lncRNA from 1 species